GCCCGAAUGGUGAAAUUGGUAGACACAAGGGACUUAAAAUCCCUCGGUUAUUUAUAACUUUGCGGGUUCAAGUCCCGCUUCGGGUA
rnacentral:tRNA from 1 species